rnacentral:lncRNA from 1 species
AUGACUUUGCCUGGUUCCUACAAAUCUGCUGCCCUUCCACAUGCUCAGCUCCUGUUCCUCCUGCAGGACCCCACUGAAUGCUCUGCACCCCUGAGAAGACGCCUCUAUCAUACGCUCCUCACCGACUUUGAGGCUCACUCUCCCUCUGAGGUAGGGCAGGUAGCCGAUGCUCACAGCCCUCUAGCCUCGGGCCACUGUACACAUACUGAAGGAAUUCAGGAAGCCUCACUAAAGGAUGCUUCCUGCUACCCCUACUCUGUUGCAUUCUGUUACUUCUUGGAAGUGUUGGGUACAACCACUGAACUGAUUCCGGGACCCUCUCAGGACCUGAAGCCUGACCACAGCAGGGUCAUUCCCAAGGAUAGGAUGGAGUCCCACCUGCUCUGUUUGCUGCAGGCUUGUCUUGCUAUAGAAGAUCUAUCUGGAAUCUACAUCAGCCUCCACCGUGCCAGCCAUCUGCUGGCUCGGCUUCUCUGUGGGCAAGUGCUGGACAGUGGCCUGGCGCCACCUGCUGGGACUGUUAAGGGCCUAUUGAGACUAGAGAAAGUCUAAAGUGCAGUAGAAAUCCAGGUACAGGGCACUGGGCCAGCUCAUUUUUGUCUAUGGUUGCUUUGGUGCCAUCAUUACAGAGCAGGGUAGCAUGUUGGCCCCAGUGGCCCCCUUGCUGUCUGCACUAUUCAAGAAUGGAUGCGACCCUCAAUUGAAAUAAGUGUUUUUCUCACUUUGAGCUUCUCUCUUCUGUGAUUUGAGUGUGGAAUCAGGCCACUUGAAUCCUUAAAAAGAACUCCAAGGACAAUAGCUUAGCCUCCAUUUUACUGACAAGGAGAGAGGUUUUUGCUAGCCAGGCCUGGCUCCAAAAUGCAGGAUGAACCCACCACUUGUGCAUGUUAGCUAUGUGGCAUGUGCGCCCUUCACACCCACCACACCCCAGAUGGCAUCAUCAGUUGGUACAACAUGCUCCAGUGGGAAUCACCCACAUCAUCAUUGCACACUAUAGCUCAAUGUUUAUUAGUGUCCCAUUCCUCAGGUCCUCAGUGACAGAUUUUCAGCCUCUUGAAGUAGCAAUACUUCUUUUAGAUAAAAGACCUGGUCUCUCGUAUCCCCACCACAAUUGCUCCUUUACCCCAGGAGUCCAGGAAUGAAUGAAUGGUGCCUUUAUUCUCAGGCCAUAGUCAUGGUAGAAAUGACAGAUGGUUGCCAGGUGAUGGUAGCACACGCCUUUAAUCCCAGCUCUAGGGAGGCAGAGGCAGGUGGAUCUCUGUGAGUUCAAGGCCAGCCUGGUGUGCAGAAUGAGUUCCAAGACAGCCAGGACUAUACAGAAAAACCCUGUCUUGAAAAUUAAAAAAAAAGGAAAAAAAAGAACUUAUGGCUGAGCAGAGGAGCUAGAAGCUGUGUCCCUGACCCAGCCUGACUCCCAAACACCAGGUAAAGUCUCAGCCUCUCCAGGUCUCAGUUUCCUUGUCUGUAAAGUGAUGAAGCAAUACACAGGCCCUCACAGAUGCUGUGGGACUAGGUUUACUGGUCCAGUAAAGCUGCUCCAGAACCAGCCCUC